rnacentral:rRNA from 1 species
AGCGAACGCUGGCGGCAGUCCUAACACAUGCAAGUCGAACGAAGUCUUCGGACUUAGUGGCGGACGGGUGAGUAACACGUGGGAACGUACCUUUUGGUUCGGAACAACUCAGGGAAACUUGAGCUAAUACCGGAUGAGCCCUUAGGGGGAAAGAUUUAUCGCCGAAAGAGCGGCCCGCGUUAGAUUAGCUAGUUGGUGAGGUAAAGGCUCACCAAGGCUACGAUCCAUAGCUGGUCUGAGAGGAUGAUCAGCCACACUGGGACUGAGACACGGCCCAGACUCCUACGGGAGGCAGCAGUGGGGAAUCUUGCGCAAUGGGCGAAAGCCUGACGCAGCCAUGCCGCGUGAAUGAUGAAGGUCUUAGGAUUGUAAAAUUCUUUUACCAGGGACGAUAAUGACGGUACCUGGAGAAAAAGCCCCGGCUAACUUCGUGCCAGCCGCCGCAGUAACAC